rnacentral:rRNA from 1 species
UACAGAGGUCUCGAGCGUUAGGCGGAAUCACUGGGCUUAAAGCGUGUGUAGGCGGAUUGGUAAGUACUUUGUGAAAUCCCACGGCUUAACCGUGGAACUGCUUGGUAUACUGCCAGUCUUGAGCCAGCUAGGGGCUACCGGAACAAAUGGUGGAGCGGUGAAAUGCGUAGAUAUCAUUUGGAACGCCAAUGGUGAAAACAGGUAGCUGGGGCUGUGCUGACGCUGAGACACGAAGGCCAGGGGAGCAAACGGG